rnacentral:rRNA from 1 species
GUAACGGGGUGUUAGGGCACGACACCGGAGAGGGAGCCUGAGAAACGGCUACCACAUCCAAGGAUGGCAGCAGGCGCGCAAAUUACCCAAUCCCGACACGGGGAGGUAGUGACAAUAAAUAACAAUACGGGGUUCUUUAGGAUCUCGUAAUUGGAAUGAGUACAAUUUAAAUCUCUUAACGAGGAACAAUUGGAGGGCAAGUCUGGUGCCAGCAGCCGCAGUAAUUCCAGCUCCAAUAGCGUAUAUUAAAGUUGUUGCAGUUAAAAAGCUCGUAGUUGAAUUUCGGGGUCAGUAGGUCGGUCGUGCCACUGGUAUGAACUGGUUUUAUUGAUUCCUCCCUCUUGAAGAACUGUAAUGCCACUAAUUUGGUGUUGCAGGGAAUCAGGACUGUUACUUUGAAAAAAUUAGAGUGUUUAAAGCAGGCUUUAGCUUGAAUACAUUAGCAUGGAAUAAUGAAAUAGGACGUUUGAUCCUAUUUUGUUGGUUUCUAGGAUUGACGUAAUGAUUAAUAGGGAUAGUUGGGGGCAUUAGUAUUCAAUUGUCAGAGGUGAAAUUCUUGGAUUUAUUGAAGACUAACUACUGCGAAAGCAUUUGCCAAGGAUGUUUUCAUUAAUCAAGAACGAAAGUUAGGGGAUCGAAGACGAUCAGAUACC